rnacentral:rRNA from 1 species
UACCAGCACCCCGAGUGGUCGGGACGAUUAUUGGGCCUAAAGCAUCCGUAGCCGGUUCUGCAAGUCUCCCGUUAAAUCCAACUGCUCAACUGGUGGGCUGCGGAGGAUACUACAGAGCUAGGAGGCAGGAGAGGCAAGCGGUACUCAGUGGGUAGGGGUAAAAUCCGUUGAUCCAUUGAAGACCACCAGUGGCGAAGGCGGCUUGCCAGAAUGCGCUCGACGGUGAGGGAUGAAAGCUGGGGGAGCAAACCGG